GAGUGAACGCUGGCGGUAGGCCUAACACAUGCAAGUCGAACGGCAGCACAGUAAGAGCUUGCUCUUACGGGUGGCGAGUGGCGGACGGGUGGGGAAUACAUCGGAAUCUACUUUUUCGUGGGGGAUAACGUAGGGAAACUUACGCUAAUACCGCAUACGACCUACGGGUGAAAGCAGGGGAUCUUCGGACCUUGCGCGAAUGAAUGAGCCGAUGUCGGAUUAGCUAGUUGGCGGGGUAAAGGCCCACCAAGGCGACGAUCCGUAGCUGGUCUGAGAGGAUGAUCAGCCACACUGGAACUGAGACACGGUCCAGACUCCUACGGGAGGCAGCAGUGGGGAAUAUUGGACAAUGGGCGCAAGCCUGAUCCAGCCAUACCGCGUGGGUGAAGAAGGCCUUCGGGUUGUAAAGCCCUUUUGUUGGGAAAGAAAAGCAGCAGGUUAAUACCCCGCUGUUCUGACGGUACCCAAAGAAUAAGCACCGGCUAACUUCGUG
rnacentral:rRNA from 1 species